GUGCUCGCUUCGGCAGCUCACUAAAAUUGGAAUGAUACAGAGAAGAUCAGCAUGGCCCCUGUGCAAGGAUGACAUGCAAAUUUGCGACGUGUUCCAUAUUUUU
ensembl:snRNA U6 U6 spliceosomal RNA